CAUAAAUAAAAAGAAAAUUUCUUCAAACAUUUUUUUGAGAGGAUUAAUAUCCAACAGCAUAGUGAAUUGCUCAAAGGCAAAAAAAUUUUUAAGUUCAUUAGACCACAUUCAUUCUGUGUCAGAAACCUAUGCUGUGUCAACUAUUUAAGCACAAUCCAAAUUUAGAGCUGAAUCCAGCUUAAAUGUUGUGUCCAUACUUGCCCCAUCUGUUCAGGGUUCAACCUCUGCGGUCGUAUAUAGCUGUGCCCUGCGGAGCAUCUGGUUGAAUAUUGUUAAAAUGGGGAAUAUGUCAAAGAGACCCAAACAACCUGACUAAAAGAGCAGAAAACAGCUGAAGGCCAUAAUGGGUCUUCAACACAGCAAGAAAAUCCCGCACCCAAAGGCAUGCUGUAGCUGGCCCCUAAAAAAGUGUGCUAGUUCAUAAUGGACGUCAUUUUAAACUCCAAAAUAUAUGAAAGUACUUAAAUUAAAAAUCAUACAAGACUAACAAAGGUCACAGGCUCAAAAAAAGCAGCAGAGUUACAUACUGUCUAGGUGUGCAUAUGGACAGAAAAUAAAUUAUGAUUCAAUAUUUUCUAGGAGUUAUUCCCCCUUUGAACUUCGAAUUUAGACCUGAUUGAUAAACUGGUGCAACUCCUCUGAAACCAUGCAACAGAAUUUCAUGUCUUCAAGAAUGUUUAGGAGUUCUAUGUCUUUAAAUCUGGUGAGAUUUUGUUUGCCCA
rnacentral:lncRNA from 1 species